rnacentral:rRNA from 1 species
AGCGAACGCUAGCGGCGGGCCUAACACAUGCAAGUCGAGCGCAUACCUUCGGGUAUGAGCGGCGGACGGGUGAGUAACACGUAGGUAAUCUACCCUUUGGUGGGGAAUAACCCGGGGAAACUCGGGCUAAUGCCGCACGAGGUCUACGGAUCAAAGCCUUCGGGCGCCAGAGGAUGAGCCUGCGUUGCAUUACCUAGUUGGCGGGGUAACGGCCCACCAAGGGGACGAUGCAUAGCUGGUCUGAGAGGAUGAUCAGCCACACUGGGACUGAGACACGGCCCAGACUCCUACGGGAGGCAGCAGUGGGGAAUAUUGCGCAAUGGGGGGAAACCCUGACGCAGCUACGCCGCGUGGGUGAUGAAGGCCUUCGGGUUGUAAAGCCCUGUCGGGAGGGACGAAUUCUGACGGUACCUCCCCAGGAAAGCACCGGCUAACUCCGUGCCAGCAGCCGCGGUAAU